rnacentral:rRNA from 1 species
CUGCUGCCUCCCGUAGGAGUAUGGACUGUGUCUCAGUUCCAUUGUGGCCGAUCAGUCUCUCAACUCGGCUAUGCAUCAUCGCCUUGGUAAGCCGUUACCUUACCAACUAGCUAAUGCACCGCAGGUCCAUCCCAGAGUGAUAGCCAAAGCCAUCUUUCAAACAAAAGCCAUGUGGCUUUUGUUGUUAUGCGGUAUUAGCAUCUGUUUCCAAAUGUUAUCCCCCGCUCCAGGGCAGGUUA